CAGGUGUUUCUGGUGAGGAAGGUCACAGGGCCAGAUGCCGGUCAGCUGUAUGCCAUGAAAGUCCUGAAGAAAGCGACGCUAAAAGUGCGAGACCGGGUCAGGACGAAGAUGGAGAGAGACAUCCUGGUGGAGGUCAACCAUCCCUUCAUCGUCAAGCUGCACUACGCGUUUCAGACGGAGGGGAAGCUCUACCUGAUCCUGGACUUCCUCCGAGGAGGAGACCUCUUCACCCGUCUCUCUAAGGAGGUAACUCAUCUU